rnacentral:lncRNA from 1 species
GGUUUUGGAGACAUAUUACACAGGAGUGAGUCCGUGCUACUGCACAUGUCCCAGCCUCUGAAUCUAGAGCUCAGUGCAGGGCCCAUCACUGGACUGAGGGACAGGCUCAUCUAAUUCUGAGUGGAUAUUACUCUGAAUCAUGAUGAGCCAACAGUCAUAUCUUUCGAUGUGGAGAUUUGAGAAGCAUGUGCAUUGGAUGUGACCGUCAAAAUCCGCCCCAUAUCAUUGCAACACCUACAAGUUUUCUUUCAUGAUGUGCUCAGAUUUUCACCUCCGGCAAAUAUUACUGGGAGGUCCAUUUGGGGGACUCUUGGAAUUGGGCUUUUGGUGUCUGUAAUAAGUGCUGGAAAGGGAAGAAUCAGAAUGACAAUAUACAUGGAGAGGAGGGACUCUUUAGUCUUGGAUAUGUCAAGAAUGACAUUCAGUGCAGUUUCUUUACCACCUCCUCACUUACACUGCAAUAUAUCCCAAGACCUACCAGCCUCAUAGGAUUAUUCCUGGAUUGUGAAGCUAGAACUGUGAGCUUCGUUGAUGUUAAUCAAAGCUUCCCUAUAUACACCAUCCCUAAUUGCUCCUUCUCACCUCCUCUCAGGCCUAUCUUUCGGUGUAUUCACCUCUGACCAGAGAUCAAUCAGAAAUGUGUUCAUCUGCUGUGAGAACCCCUUUAUUCCAGGAAGCCCUCUUCCUUGUGCCUUAUCAAACAGGACAAAUAGGUUCUGUUUUAUGUCUUCAAUUGCCUCCUAAUGUUAUUGAAACUCAUUUAUUGUGUUACUAUUAAAAGUGGUAAAAACACUGAAAGUGUAUGUAUUGGUUCUUUAUUAAUUUUUGAAAAAUCAUUAUUCAUGAUCAUGGCAUACAACAUAUUCUGUUUUUUUUUCUUUAUUUCUGACUGCCACUGAGUGAAAUAAUAAAUGACAGACAUGUCUGAAUGGAGUUAAAAUCAAUGGAAGAGAGUCGGGAUCUUUUGCUUCAUGCAAAAGCUUGGAGUGAAGUCUUAAUGAUAGCUGGGAAAUGUUUUUCUUUCUCUUUACCUUACUAUAUUGCACUUAUCCAUCACAUUUCAUUUUACUAAUCUAUCCUUUGAGUUAAUA